rnacentral:rRNA from 1 species
CAGUAGCCGCGGGAAUACCGAGGGUGCGAGCGUUAAUCGGAUUUACUGGGCGUAAAGCGUGCGUAGGCGGCUAAUUGAGUCGGAUGUGAAAUCCCCGAGCUUAACUUGGGAAUUGCAUUCGAUACUGGUUAGCUAGAGUGUGGGAGAGGAUGGUAGAAUUCCAGGUGUAGCGGUGAAAUGCGUAGAGAUCUGGAGGAAUACCGAUGGCGAAGGCAGCCAUCUGGCCUAACACUGACGCUGAGGUACGAAAGCAUGGGGAGCAAACAGGAUUAGAUACCCCAGUAGUCCCUGUCUCUUAUAC